rnacentral:rRNA from 1 species
UACGAAGGGGGCUAGCGUUGCUCGGAAUCACUGGGCGUAAAGCGCACGUAGGCGGACUCUUAAGUCGGGGGUGAAAUCCUGGAGCUCAACUCCAGAACUGCCUUCGAUACUGGGAGUCUUGAGUUCGGGGAGAGGUGAGUGGAACUGCGAGUGUAGAGGUGAAAUUCGUAGAUAUUCGCAUGAACACCAGUGGCGAAGGCGGCUCACUGGCCCCGAUACUGACGCUGAGGCACGAAAGCGUGGGGGAGCAAACAGG